CAAAUUAUUUUUUAUUUCAGAAUAAAGUAUUUGUGUUCGUUUUUCCUACAAAUUUUUAUGUCCAAGAAACUUAAAAACAAAAUGACUUAAUUUGGUCAGCAUCUUGACAGUAAUAAAUUUAUAAAGUCUAGCAAUUUUCAGAUCUGUCAAAACACCUGCUUCUAGAUAGUAUAAUAUUUAUAGAUUAGACAGAACCUUAAAUUUAUUAACAUGUUGAUUCUUGAACGAACUCAUAAAUUUUUGUCACACGUUUUUCCCACACUAUUUAUCAAAAUGACUAUAUUUGGUCACCAGCUCAAUAUUAACAAGUUCUAAGGUUUGCAUGGUGUGUGCCCGUUUAUGAAUUGUCAUACACCUACUCCCUUAUUUGAAUUUUCCAGUACUUUGAAGUACAAGUGGGGAUAUGCUUAUGAUGUGUGAAUUCUUAAUUUACAUUUUCAAGAGGGGAAGGGCCAAUUUUACCAGCAGAAACUUUUAAAUAUUAGGUCCGAGACCACAAUUAUUUCGUAGUGCAUUUCUUUUAGAACAUAAAUGAAAAUAAAAAAAAUUCCACCUGCGCUUUCUCAAAGAAACUUUUACAGUGUGUUGUACUACUUUUGGGACAAAUUAUAUCAAAAUUAUAGAAAGCUUCAUCGGCUCUAACUCAAAAUAUGGACAAUUUUAUGUUUAGGGCAUCUUGAAAUCUUUUGACAGCUUCCGAAGUGGUAAUUUUAAACCUUUCUCAGCUGGACCAAAUCACUACUUUCCUUUAAAAUUCUGGACCCAAAUUUUUUACAUGUAAUUUCACCCCCCUACUUGCAAUUUGAGGCAUUAAACAUGGAGAAAUAAAUUUGGAAAGGGUAUAAAAAUUAAUGGCAAGUAACCCAUUGUCAACACUAGGGACUA
rnacentral:lncRNA from 1 species